rnacentral:misc_RNA from 1 species
AACUUUCAGCAAUGGAUCACUUGGCUCUCGCAUCGAUGAAUAACACAGCGAAAUGUGAUAAGUAAUGUGAAUUGCAGAAUCCAGUGAAUCAUCGAAUCUUUUAACGCAUCUUGCGCUCCUUGGUAUUCCAAGGAGUAUGCCUGUUUGAGUGUCAUUAAACUAUCAAAACACUUUUCUUGGGUGUUUUGGACUUUGGGAGUUGCUGGUCUGUUUGAGCCAGCUCUCCUCAAAAGCAUUAGCUUUGGAGACCAUCAGUGUGAUAAUUUGUUUACACUGACUUGAGUGUCUCAGCUUCUCCUUUUGAUGCCCCUCUGACCUCAAAUCAGGUAGGACUACCCGCUGAACUUAAGCAUAUCAAUAAGCGGAGGCC